AAAAAAUUUAAUUACAACUAUAAAAACAUACAAAGCUACUUGUAAAUAUACAUACAUGUACAAAUAUACAGACUGUGGCAAAUGUAUUUAUUAUUAGGAAUAUGUAUAUAAAUACAUUACACUAUAUGCAUAAGGAAUUUUUAUCUAAAGGUUAUCCUGUCAAUUAUAGAGUCAAUGAGUGCCAGAAAAUCACACCGUUCAAUAGACAUAAGAAAGAUAUUUAUUGGGAAAUGGUAUGAAAAUGACUGCCUCAGAACAGGUAGUGAAAUCAAAGGAUAGAGAGUGGGAGAGACAUAGAGAGAAAGAAAGAGAGAGAUAGAGAGAGAGUAGGCUAUAAUAGCACAUACUUUAGAGGGUGAUAUGGAGCACAUCCAGAGAAAAACACACAACACUGGUGAUGGUGGAAUCUCAUAAAUUUGGCCUAUAUUUAUUUUGGGUCCCAUUGGCCUUUAGGUAUUUUGUGUAGCAUUGGACGUUGGUAAUGACAUGUCACAUUGGCCUUUAGGUAUUUUGUGUCCCAUUGGACUUUGGUAAUGACAUGUCACAUUGGCCUUUAGGUAUUUUGUGUAGCAUUGGACUUUGGUAAUGACAUGUCACAUUGGCCUUUAGGUAUUUUGUGUCCCAUUGGACUUUGGUAAUGACAUGUCCCAUUGGCCUUUAGUGCUUACAAUGACUGGAGGCCUAGUGAGUGAUGGGGAGCACAUGGUUCUGGAAUGUGGGUAGUUCUUGGUCGAAAAACUUUCAUUCCUAUUUUAUUAUAAGAGUUAAGUAAAUAGGAAGGGGUGAUUGGUCAGGAAGGAGUAGGGACACCUUACUCUUUAGGCUGUUUCCUAGUACCUGGGGGCAUCAAUAUCUUUGGGUAUCCAAGAAAGCUGGAAUGCUCACCAAGGCCAGAAAAAGCAGGUUUUUUUCUCUCACUGCCCAGGUUCUGUGGGACAUCUGUGCCUGCGAAGGAGCAGGCAGCAUUUGAGAUGUGUGUAGCCUUUAAUUAAUUUAAAAUAUGCUGGAACAGAUACAUAGGAGGGACUGAAGGUGAAGUUAAGUCGUUUAGGGGAAUAUUUUUAUCUUAGAUGUGCAUUUGAAACUUCUAGGCUCAGGGUUUUGUUACUUGGGGAAGGGUAAUUCCAUAACCAGAGGAAGGAGGAAGAGAUGCCAUCUGCAUGCAUAGACAAUAGGUGUGGAAAGUUAGGUUGUUGGCUAACAGGAAUACUUAUCUGGAGUCUAUUUGACCUGUGAGAGGUCGAUUAAAGUUGAUUUCAUGAAGGUCGCAAGAAAUUUUUUCUCUUCUUUAAAAUUUAUGUUUUGCUUUAUAAAUAAUAACAAUUAAAAUUCCCACUUCCUCUCCUCCUCCCACUUCCCUCCUGAUCUCCCCAACACCCUCCUCUCCACCCACCUCCAGUCCUAAGAGAGAGCAAGGCACUCUGCCCUGUGGAUGGAGACUCACAUUGGAACACUGGACUGAGCUCCUGAUGUCCAGUUGAAGAGCAGUUGGAAGGAGACUCUGAGCAAGGAAGUCAAGACUAUGAGAGAAGAAAAGUCUGUGCUGACACUGGUGAUGCUGAAUACAAUAAUGAUAAUAUUCUAGGCCUGUAGCCUAAGUUAUAUGCCCCAAUGUUACAGAGAAACAUUGGCUGUCUGUCCAGAUGGCCUGCUCUUUCUGUUAUUUCCUACAUUUUUUGGAAGUCACUUGCUUGGACUUCCUGCCUCUUCAGGAUGAUUUGCCAUGGGCAUGGUUCUUUAUGGUGAUGAGACUGGAUAAAAUGCAGGAGAAAGAUUGUACAUGCUCUCUUGUGUGUUCAAAGCUGGAGCAUGCCUUGUGGUUGGUCCCCAUCACCCUUGGAUGAAUGACAAGACAGCAACAACUAGAUCAGCCACUGGAGAGCAUGCCUUGUAGUUGGUCCCCAUCACCCUUGGAAGAAUGACAAGACAGAGACAGCUGGAUCAGCCACUGCUCUAUAUUGUUUUCUUAACUGGAUAUUGGAUACAACCCGCAGUCCCAGGGA